CUCAUAUUACGCACAGCAUGCAUCCUGACUAAAGGGAGACACUGACAGCCCAGAUAUAAUCAUUCCUGCACACCUAAUCUGCCAUUUGGCUGUGCGGCCUACCAGGAUUGAUAACCUGACAGCUGGGAAAGACGAUCGAUCUCCCGCUCGGAAUUGCACAUUCCACAAGAAACCUACUAAAGCCCCUUUGGACCACUGGAUAUACUCACUACUCUGCAG